UGGGGAAUUUUGGACAAUGGGCGCAAGCCUGAUCCAGCCAUGCCGCGUGAGUGAAGAAGGCCUUCGGGUUGUAAAGCUCUUUCGGCUGGGACGAAAAGGUCCGUGCUAACACCACGGAUCCAUGACGGUACCAGCAGAAGAAGCACCGGCUAACUACGUGCCAGCAGCCGCGGUAAUACGUAGGGUGCAGGCGUUAAUCGGAAUUACUGGGCGUAAAGCGUGCGCAGGCGGUUUGCUAAGACAGGUGUGAAAUCCCCGGGCUUAACCUGGGAACUGCGCUUGUAACUGGCAAGCUAGAGUGUGGCAGAGGGGGGUGGAAUUCCACGUGUAGCAGUGAAAUGCGUAGAGAUGUGGAGGAACACCGAUGGCGAAGGCAGCCCCCUGGGCUAACACUGACGCUCAUGCACGAAAGCGUGGGGAGCAAACAGG
rnacentral:rRNA from 1 species